rnacentral:lncRNA from 1 species
CAUGUAGUACAUGUUGAAGUCGGUUAAGCCAUUUUGCUGGAAAUUCAAGUAAUGAAGUGCUGAGUCAUUAAGGAUGUAAGUAGGAGGUGGCCUUUGAGCAUAUUAGUAGCUACCCACUAAGCAAAGGUAAUUGCUUGAAAAUUUAAAAAUCAAGGACUCUGCUCUUUCCAUUCCAUUUUACAUCUGAUCCAAACAAACAGGCAUGCCCUUCUAUUUCGUUCCAAAAGAGAGAAGUAAAAGCAUACAUGCUCUCUAUUUUUUCUUUCUUCAUCUCUGAACCUGCCGAACCAACUAAACCAUUUCUCACUUCAACUGUUAAGCACCAUAUCAUAUAAAGGCUUACUAAAACGUCUACAAAUUUCGGCAAAGAAGAAAGGUGAUGGGCUGAAUUUGGAGUAUAACUGGGAUUGCAGCAGUAAAGGAGGCCUAAGCUAAUCAAAUAAGCUAGCAAUUCGGUAAAAUUAAACUUUAAAGGUAAAUUCAAUAUUUUUGUUGUUGUAUUAGAAAUUUGAUGAUAAAAGUGCUAUAAUUAGAUGUGUUUUUGUGAAUAUGGGACUGCUAUUGUUUGAAUUAGAAUCAAGGAGUUUAGGUUGGUUGUGAGGAGUAGGCCUGACAAAAUAUUGUUAUGGAUUGAUUUUGGUUUUUAAAAUAUGGUUAUGGUUCCAUUUAAGAACUAAAAUUAUAUUAACCAUUUUUAAUAUGGGUUGUGUGGGUUGAAACUAUAUGGUUAUGGUUCAAAAUCAUAUUAACCAUUUUAAGAUGUUUUGACUUUUAAACAAAAUUUUUGAAAAAUGAAAUUGUGACCGUCACAAUUAAAUUAAUUAAGUAAUAAUAUGAUAUAAAAAUUAUUAAUAUAAAUAAUAAAAUGCUAAAAAAUUAUACUAAUAAAAUUUUAAAUUAAAAUUAUUAAUACCCUUUCAUAUUUAAAUAAUUUUUCAAAAUUAUUAUUAACCUGCUAAUAGAAAGAUUGGAAUCCAAAAUACACAUAAUUCUAUGAAUGUUGUUUAAAUAUUAAAACAUAUUUAUACUUCUUUUAUAACUAGAAUACUAAUUUCAUAAACUGACACAUACAGAACAACAUUAGUCAUCCAAAAGAAGAACAUAUUAAUUUAUAGAACAUACAAAAUAAGUAGAAAAUUGAAUAUAAUCAUAUAAUUCUAUAGACCAUAUUAAAAUUUAAUUAAUUAGACAGACAUUAAAAUUUAUCGUCAUGAUUCUUUUAUUUCAAUUUUUAUGGUGAAUGUGUAGAUUAAUGACAAAUUAAUAAAAAUUAUGAUCAUUCUUGACGGAAUAAUAUCAUGUUGUUUUAGUCAAUUAGCUUUGUAAAGUCAAAAAUAUAAUUUUAAUUGUAUAAUAGAUGAAGUAGUAUUUUAGUAAAUACUCUCUUUGUAAAUACGAUUAUUAUUAAUGUUUAGAAGUCAAUUUAAAUAUUUACAAACUUAAUACUAAUUUUUUUUUAUUUUACUUGAUACAAGGAUGAAUAUUAUAAACUAUUUAAAAAUAAUAUUAUUAAUUUUAAAUUUUAUUAUUUUUAAUAAAUUAUUUUAAUUUUAAAUUUAAAAAUAUCUCAAAAACAAUCUUUUAAAAAUCAAAUCAAUACUAAUCUUAUAGUUUGAAUUAUUCUUUCUUUCUUUUCACCUUUUUAAUGUUUUUCUCUCCGUAUAAAUUAUAAAUUAUAAUGGGGUUGGCAAUAAGCCAAUAAAGUUAGCUGAACUUCCUCUCCUCCUUUUUGAUUGUGUUUUAAUUUAAUUUGCUUCAUCCAUUAAUUUGUAUAUUUUAAUAUUAAAUUAGUAUCCGGCGAGGUGGCGCAUGGAUGAAUGUUCAGAACUAUGGGUUGAAAAAUGGAAUGGAAUAUGGGUUGAAAAUGGUUAACCGGUUCAGAACUAUAUUUCUUUUAAAAAGUAUGGGUCCAAACUUUAACCAACCUGAAUAAAUAAAGAUGGUUAACCGACCCAUUUGGUUCUAGUUAAUAUGGUUUGACCCAACAGUUAACUAACUAUAUUGCCAGGUCUAGUGAGGAGUAAUAAGGUGAGAAGAAGAAGACAAGAACACAAAUCAAACCUCUAGAAAUUUGAACUAUAAAGGAAUGCACAAAACUUGUUUGUCAAAAGUCCUCUAUGGACUAUUUUGGUUAAAAACCAAAUAUUAGACAGAACCAAGACUUAGACUAGAUGUAUAUACUUUAUAUGAUGACAAGUAAAGAGUUUGAGCAUAUUAAAUGAAAGCGAAAAGAAAUUUUUAAGCCAAAACAAAAAUUAAAAACUAGUGCGUCAAGCCAAUUUUGGAGUUUGUUUUUAGCAGCUUACUGAGUCUGAAAUGAGGGACUCAUAUUUUUUAAAAAUAGCCUGCUAUGGCAUCUAAAAUAUAUUAAAAUUUGGUAUGUGACGCCCCCAAAAUAGGUAUACAACACCCAUUCUAAGUCGCCAAAUACAUGGUACAAAAAUAACUACAACUUUAUUACUACAAUUGUCGUGCAAAAUACGACAACACAUAAACCGUGAGUUUAAAAACAAAUAUUGUCUUCUAGACAAUAUCCACACUCAAAUAAGUCAUCAUUACAAUUAUUGAUAUACUAUUUUACAAAAUAGUGAGGAGUACAAAAAUAACUUUCUAGAACCUUCAUUCCAUACCCCGACUAGUACUCGCUACAUUCUCGCCUCCUGAGAAGAAAAAUGGAACAAAAAGGAAAAGGGUGAGCUCAACUAGCCCAGUAAAGAAUAUUAUAACUAAGAUAAUAUAGAAUAAAUUAUCGUUAGUGCUCAACAGGGAAAAAUCUGAUAGAAUAUAAUAGACAACAAGUUUCAGAUCAAUAUUCGCAACGGAAAUAAUAAUUCAUUAGAAGAGUUACGUAGAGAAUGAAAUCUACUAUCUUCUAUGAUUUAAAAGUCCAUCAUCAAUAUUUUAUCCCUGUAACAUCCAUCAAUAUACAUCUUGAAUCAAAUAUUCAUCUUUGCAGUACAGGCCAAAGAUAUUCAUCAGUUGGUCAUGUUCAUCUCAACACCUGUACAUCUUUGCAUUACGGGCCAAAUAUAUUCAUAAGAAAAUCAUUCAUCUUUGCACUACAAGCCAAAGAUAUUCAGUAAUAUCAUUAUUUAGGACUGAGGAUGAUGAAAAAUAUUUUAAAGAAACGAAUCCAGUUAAACAAAAGGACAAAGAUUAGGAAUUCGUACUUUAAACAGUUCAAUUCAAAAAUACUUUAUAAAUAAUCAUAGUGGAGUAAAAUUCAAGAAUGAAAACCAAAACAUGGAUACAAUCAAAGCUAGUAUCCAUAAUAGAUAUCUUGGAUAAAAAAUGAAAAUUUAAUUUUUUUGUGAAUAGUACCGUAUUCGUGAAUAGUACCGUAUACGUGAAUAGUGUCGUAUACAUAAAUAGUAACCCCGACACUAAAAGACAAAAAUUUCACAAGAAAAAUCUUUUCAAUAUUCCGGCAUAAUGAUAUUGAAAGAAAUAAUAUCAUUUAUAAAAAAAAUAACAUCCUUACCUCGAAAAGACAAUACUUCUAACUGGAAUACUGGAUAUAGUGUUGAAGGGAACUUGCACCGUAUAGUAACACUCAAAGUAUUAAAAUACUCACAAGAAUACGCUCGAUAAUAUAGAGAGAAAAGAUUUCAGUUUCUGGUGUGAUUUUUAAUUCUAACCUAAGCACCCUAUUUAUAGGAAAAUGCUUAGAACAUCAAAGCAGAAAAUUUAAUAAAAUAAUAAUAUAAUUAAAAAAAUUCAAGCCCACCUUAGACCAACUGAAUUCAGCACAUUUAUAUCACAUGUGAGGCCCACUCAAUUGCAAAAAACGUUUUUCUUAAAAUAAUUAUUUAAAACUUCAAAAAUCAAUUAUUCCGGAACUUCAAUACCUCAUAAUAAAUAGCCAUUUUAUCAGAAAAAUUCGAAUCUUAUGUCCAUUCCAUAGGAAAUUCAAUUUUCUACAACUUUGUAAGUUUAAGAUUUCUAAAUUCCAAGCAGAAGUUGACUGAAAUUCACAAACGGACGAUUUUACAAGCUAUAAUCAAAUUUUAGUCAAAAAAUGGGGCCCACCAACACACAAAACAUGUGUUAAACAUUUUUUGUAACAAAAAUACUCUUCCUCGUCAUUUAUUCACAUAUCACACAUUCAUUGUAAAAAUAUCACCAUUAUUAUAUUAUUAUAAUAUAAUAAUAUAUUUAAAUGAAUUAUUUUAUCAGAAAAAGAUAAAAUAACUUUUUUCAACAAUUGUCACAUUAAAAAUUUUCUCCAUCUAUAUCCACAUAAAAUGAAUAUUUUCCUUAUCAUAUAAAUCAAUAAUUAAUUAUUCACAAAUAAUAUUACAGAAUCACAAUAUCGACAACCAGGCCGUUCCAAAGAAAGAGGGGGCUUUCCAAUAAGGAUUUCUCUUUACUGGCGCGCAAUUAGGUGAUCAAACCUCUCCUUAGACAGAAUUUUCUAGAUAUUGCCAAUAAUGCUAUCUAAUAAUAUUAUUCAAAUAAUGUGAAUUAUUGAUUUGGUAAUGAAAAAUACUGUGUAAUGACAAUUAUUGAAACAACAAUAAUAUAAAAUAUCAACGUGGCAAUUAUUAAAUCAAUAAAAUAUUGAACAGUAAUUACUGUAACAAUUAUUGAGUAGUGCCUUCUUUCGUAAGAAUCAAUAAUUGGUGCAAUACCGUGUGCUACUGUGUUUUAACCACCGGGUAUUCCAACAGUAUUAACGGUAACUACGACGUUAUUUAUAAACAACUUAUACUUGUCGUUUUCUUCAUCCAAUCGCUUUUUGUUAUGGGGCCCACACAAGGCUGCGUCGUCCUAUGAAUAUUCCCCGAUAGUAAGAAUAUUCCACUACCAAAUGAAUAUUCCCCGACAAUAAUGAAUAUUUUAUAACCACUUGCUUAUUUGAAAUAUUUACGCAUUUUACCCAUAACUAACCACAUUAAUCAAAUCAACCCUUACUAUUUCAAAAUAAUAAAUAGAGGAAAUUCAAUUUCAUUAAUAAUAAGUUGGGGUCUUAUAACCUCCCCUCAUUAUGAAAUUUCGUCCUCGAAAUUGACGUACGUACUUGGUGUUUCGAAAAGGUGAGGAUAGCUCACUUUUAUUUUCGUUUCCAAUUCUCAGAUCAUUUCCUCAAUAGCAUGGUUUCUCCACAAAACUUUGACUUGUGAUAUGACCUUUGUGCAUAGGACAUGCUCCUUCCUAUCCAAGAUCUUGACAGGUACCUCCUCGUACAUUAAAUCUUUGGCUAUUUCGUCUGGUUCUAACUCAAUAACGUGGUUCGGGUCUUUCACAUAUUUUCGAAGCACCGAUAUGUGAAAAAUAUUAUGAACACGAGACAUACUUGGAGGUAACGCGAGUCUAUAGGCCACAUUUUCUACUCGGUCAAGAAUCUGAAAUGGACCGAUAAAUUGUGGAUUGAGAUUUUCUCUUUUCCCAAAUCUUGUAACUCCCUUCCAUGGAGCAACACGCAACAAUACAUAAUCCCCAAUACUAAAUUCCACGUCCUUUCGAUGAAGAUCCACAUAACUCUUUUGUCGAUCCUUUGCCGUUUGCAUACGUUAUCGAAUCAUUUAGAUCUUUUCUGUAGUCAUACGUACCAACUCUGGUCCCAACAAUGUUGCUUCACUCACCUCAUCCCAACAUACUGGAGAGCGACACUUUCGUCUAUACUAUGCGUCGAAUGGAGCCACACCUAUACUUGCUUGAUAACUGUUGUUGUAGAAAAAUUCCACCAAUGGUAAAUACUUAUCCCAACUCCCUUUGAAGUCUAGGACACAGAGUCUUAAUGUGAGACCUCAAAUUUUAUGAAUAAAGAUUUAAAUUUCUCGAAAUAUUUUUUUGAAUAUUAUGGAAUAAAUUUGAUAUAAUGUUAUAGUUGUGGGUAAUAUUUAUAAAUUUUGCAAAGUACGCAAGUUGUUAUAUAAUAUUCGAUUGGUCGGGGAAUAUUCGUUUUAACAGGGAAUAUUCGUACGACGACACAAUCAUUGGUGGACCCCACAACAAAAUUAUUGUCGGAUUGAGAAAAUGACAAAAAUAUUUUAUGAAAAUAACGGCGGAAGUUUUACCGUUAACUGUUGAAACGCUCGGUGUUAAAAGUAUAGUAAUAUGCGUGGUUGCAUAGUAGCACACGGUAUUGAUUAUUGAUGCUUAUGUGAGAAGUCACUCAGUGUUGUUCAAUUAUUGCUACAGUAAUUGUUGCAUAGUAUCUCACGUUAUUUGAUUCAAUUAUUGUCGAUAUUUUAUAUAUUAUUAAAUCAAUAAUUGAGAUGACAGAGUUAUUAAUAUUAUUAUUUGCAAUAUUAACGAUGUCUAGAAGUUCUGCCAAUGAGAGAUUCGGUCACCUAAUUGUACGUCAAUAGGGAGAAAUCCUUAUUGGAAAGCCCCCUCUUUCCUGGGAACGACCUGGUCGAUUAAUAUUGUGAAUUAUAAUAAUGAUGAUAAAUAUUGUUAUAUAUAUUGAGGUGUCUUUUUAUGAAGUCACUGAAGUUUAUAUAUAUAAAUAUAUAUAUUAUAUAUAUAAAUUUUUUUUAUUAGUAUUAUUAAUGUAAUAAAAUAAAAAAGUUUUUUAUAUAAAACAGAAUACUUUUAUAAAGUUAUUUAUUUUAUUAGACUAUAAAUAGAAUAUAUUAUAUUCUAUUAUGCAUAGUGUUUUGCAUAGUAAAAUCUUUUUAUAUAAAACAGAAUACUUUUAUAAAGUUAUUUGUUUUAUUAGACUAUAAAUAGAAUAUAUUAUAUUUUAUUAUGCAUAGUGUUGCAUAGUGCCUGCAUAGUUUUUUGCAUAGUAAAAUCUUUUUAUAUAAAACAGAAUACUUUUAUAAAGUUAUUCGUUUUAUUAGAUUAUAAAUAGAAUAUAUUAUAUUUUAUUUAAAAGAUUUUGUUUUAUUAGAAUAUUUUAUUAAUACUGCAUAGUAAAUUAAUAUGGACCGUCCGUUUAAAAGUAAAUCAAUCUGGACCGUUCAUGAAUUAGUUACUAUUCAGUCCAUUCUCCUAUAAAUAGAAGCUCAUUCCUUCAUUAUUUCUUACGAAUUCACUGAAACUCUAGAGAGAGAAACUAUAGAGAGAAAGAAGAAAAGUAUUCUGCCACUUCACUACUCCUAUAUCCAGUUUCUUCUAAGGUAAGGGAUAUCAUUAUUGUAGUAAGGGAUAUUAUUUUUUGUACUCGUAAGGGGUAUUAUUUCUUUCGUAUUCAUGAAGAGAACUUCUGUUAUUCCAUUCUUUAUUAUUCUGUUGGAAUAACUUGUAUACGCGGGCUACCCUAUACUUGGUGAAAUUCUUCUGUUAUUCCAUUCUUUAUCAUUAUGUUAGAAUAACCUGUCUAUGCGAAGUACCGCAUACAUGGUGAAAUUCUUCUGUUAUUCCAUUCUUUAUUAUUCUGUUGGAACAUCCUACCUGUACGUUUACGCAUGACCUGGUUCCGUUAUUUAUUAUUCUGUUGGAAUAUCCUGUCGGUGCGUAUUACGCCUGACCUGGUUCCAUUAAUUAUUAUUCUGUUGGAAUAACCUGUCUGUGUAGUCUAUCACAUACAUGGUGAUUUUUGUUGUUAUUCCAUUCUUUAUUAUUCUGUUGGAACAUCAUGUCUAUGCGUUUACGCAUGACCUGGUUCCGUUAUUUAUUAUUCUGUUGGAAUAACCUGUUUAUGCGGUCUAUCGCAUGCCUGGUGAUUUCUUUUGUUAUUCCAUUCUUUAUUAUACUCAGUUGGUUAAAGUUUUGACUUCUAUACUCCAUGAAAUUAGUGGAAUAUCCUUGAUAUUUGCGCUUUAUCCUGUAUCUUUUUAUGUAAAUAUUCUUCUGAGCAUUCUUGAAUUUUACUCCACAAAGCAGUAUCAUGUUGACAAUUUGGACAUUAUUGAGUUCAGAAUAAAUUAACUUAUUAAUCUUUAAAAUUUAUUCUUGAACUUGUUGUAUUGAAUUAUUAUGUCAUUGUCAUCAUCCUCAUGCUUAUAUUGUGAUGAAAGUCAUCUUUGGCUUACGUGCAUAGAUGGACUUGGUAUGACUAUGACCAGGGAUUAUUCGGUAUAAUCAUGACCUGUAAUGUUAUAAAUGAUGUGGUAAAAGUCCUCAGUGGCCUGUAGUGUAUUGACGGAUAGUUUUUGGUAUGAUUAUGACCAGGGAUUAUUCGGUAUAGUCAUGACCAUUGAUAAUUUAAUGAAUAUCCUUGGCCCGUAAAGCAGGGAUGACUCGAUGAUGUGGUUUAUUUAUUAAGCUGAGUCUCAGCGAUAAAAAUUAAUGAAAACAUUUUAAAUCAUAGAAGAUAGUAGAUAUCAUGCUCUACUUGACUCUUCUAAUGGAUUGCUUAUUCCGUUGCAGUUAAACUUGAUGUCUAUUAUAUUUUAUCAGUUUAACAUUGUUGAAGACUAAUGAUAAUUUAUUCUGCAUUAUCUUAGUCAUAAUAUUUCUUACUAAGCUAGGUGAGCUCACCCCUUUCUUUCACCGUUCUCUUCAGGAAAUGAGAACGUAGCCGGGACUAGUCGGGGAACAGAGUGAUGGUCCAGAUGAUAGUAUUAGUAGUCCUCAAUAUUUUGUUAAAUAGUGUGACAAUAAAUGUAUUGAGGACUCCUUUGGG